UGCUUAGGGGGGCCUACUGAAGCCAUAGCCCUGUGUGAGGAACUCAGGAUGAGAAGGUGAAGAUCAGAGACUCUCAGAGCCCACCUACAGCUUGUCCCCACGAAACCCACCCGACUUUUCCCUGCCUAGUCCACUCCACCACCGAUUGGGUCUGGCCCUGGCUGUGGGCAGCGAACUGGAAUCUCGAGCUGAGGGAACUCUGCCAUCCCGGGCAUGGAUUUCGUGUUCUUUCAGGUCUUGGAUAUAAAAUGCUUUCCGGAGGCCCCGUGCUUGAGCACAUGAUCACCAGCGGGUGGCGCUGUUUUUUCGAGGCUGUGAACCAUACAAAAG
rnacentral:lncRNA from 1 species